rnacentral:rRNA from 1 species
CCUACGGGUGGCAGCAGUGGGGGAUAUUGCACAAUGGGGGGAACACUGAUGCAGCGACGCCGCGUGGGUGAAGACGCGCCUCGGCGCGUAAAGCUCUGUCAGCAGGGGAGAAAAUGACGGUACCUGAAGAAGAAGCCCCGGCGAACUACGUGCCAGCAGCCGCGGUAAUACGGAGGGGGCAAGCGUUAUCCGGAUUUACUGGGUGUAAAGGGGGCGCAGACGGCGAUGCAAGCCAGGCGUGAAAGGCCGGGGCCCAACCCCGGGACUGCUCUUUGAACUGGGUGGCUGGAGUGCAGGGGGGGCAGGCGGAAUUCGUGGGGUAGCGGUGAAAUGCGUAGAUAUCAGGAGGAACACCGAUGGCGAAGGCGGCCUGCUGGACUGCAACUGACGUUGAGGCCCGAAGGCGUGGGGAGCAAACAGGAUUAGAUACCCCUGUAGUC